rnacentral:rRNA from 1 species
UACAGAGGGUGCGAGCGUUGUCCGGAAUCACUGGGCGUAAAGGGCGCGUAGGUGGCCCGACCAGUCACUGGUGAAAGCUCGACGCUCAACGUCGAGUCGGCCAGUGAUACUGUUGGGCUGGAGCACUGUAGAGGCAGAUGGAAUUCCGGGUGUAGCGGUGGAAUGCGUAGAGAUCCGGAAGAACACCGGUGGCGAAGGCGGUCUGCUGGGCAGUAGCUGACACUGAGGCGCGACAGCGUGGGGAGCAAACAGG